rnacentral:rRNA from 1 species
UACGUAGGGGGCAAGCGUUGUCCGGAUUUAUUGGGCGUAAAGAGCGUGUAGGCGGUCAGGUAGGUCCGUUGUGAAAACUCGAGGCUCAACCUCGAGACGCCGAUGGAAACCAUCUGACUAGAGUCCGGAAGAGGAGAGUGGAAUUCCUGGUGUAGCGGUGAAAUGCGCAGAUAUCAGGAAGAACACCCGUGGCUAAGGCGGCUCUCUAGUACGGUACUGACGCUAGACGCGAAAGCGUGGGGAGCGAACAGG